rnacentral:rRNA from 1 species
AACAUCUAAGUACCCCGAGGAAAAGAAAUCAACCGAGAUUCCGAAAGUAGCGGCGAGCGAAAUUGGACUAGCCCUUAAGCUUUACACGCGUUAGACGAACGGUCUGGAAAGUCCGACGAUACAGGGUGAUAGUCCCGUAGUUGACGACGUGUGUUCAGUGAAAUCGAGUAGGGCGGGACACGUGAUAUCCUGUCUGAAUAUGGGGGGACCAUCCUCCAAGGCUAAAUACUACUGACUGACCGAUAGUGAACCAGUACCGUGAGGGAAAGGCGAAAAGAACCCCUGUGAGGGGAGUGAAAUAGAACCUGAAACCGUGUACGUACAAGCAGUAGGAGCAGGCUUUGUCCUGUGACUGCGUACCUUUUGUAUAAUGGGUCAGCGACUUAUAUUCAGUGGCAAGGUUAACCAUCUAGGGGAGCCGUAGGGAAACCGAGUCUUAACUGGGCGUUCAGUCUCUGGAUAUAGACCCGAAACCAGGUGAUCUAGCCAUGGGCAGGUUGAAGGUUGAGUAACAUCAACUGGAGGACCGAACCGACUAAUGUUGAAAAAUUAGCGGAUGACUUGUGGCUAGGGGUGAAAGGCCAAUCAAACCUGGAGAUAGCUGGUUCUCCCCGAAAGCUAUUUAGGUAGCGCCUCGGACGAAUACUACUGGGGGUAGAGCACUGUUAAGGCUAGGGGGUCAUCCCGACUUACCAACCCUUUGCAAACUCCGAAUACCAGUAAGUACUAUCCGGGAGACACACGGCGGGUGCUAACGUCCGUCGUGGAGAGGGAAACAACCCAGACCGCCAGCUAAGGUCCCAAAUUACUACUAAGUGGGAAACGAUGUGGGAAGGCUCAGACAGCCAGGAUGUUGGCUUAGAAGCAGCCAUCAUUUAAAGAAAGCGUAAUAGCUCACUGGUCGAGUCGGCCUGCGCGGAAGAUGUAACGGGGCUAAGUAGUAAACCGAAGCUGCGGCAAUAUACUUUUGUAUAUUGGGUAGGGGAGCGUUCUGUAAGCGGUUGAAGGUGUGUGGUAACGCAUGCUGGACGUAUCAGAAGUGCGAAUGCUGACAUGAGUAACGAUAAAGGGGGUGAAAAACCUCCUCGCCGGAAGACCAAGGGUUCCUGUCCAACGUUAAUCGGGGCAGGGUAAGUCGACCCCUAAGGCGAGGCCGAAAGGCGUAGUCGAUGGGAAACGGGUUAAUAUUCCCGUACUUCUUACAAUUGCGAUGGGGGGACGGAGAAGGCUAGGUGGGCCUGGCGACGGUUGUCCAGGUUCAAGUGCGUAGGCUUAAGA